rnacentral:rRNA from 1 species
GGGGCGUGGCGCGUGCUUACCAUGCAAGUCGAACGGACUCAUAUUGAAACCUAGUGAUGUAUGAGUUAGUGGCCCCAUAAAAGAGUAACGCGUGGAGAACCUGCCGUAUACUGGGGGAUAACACUUAGAAAUAGGUGCUAAUACCGCAUAAGCGCACAGCUUCGCAUGAAGCAGUGUGAAAAACUCCGGUGCUAUACGAUGGAUCCGCGUCUGAUUAGCUGGUUGGCGGGGUAACGGCCCACCAAGGCGACGAUCAGUAGCCGGCCUGAGAGGGUGAACGGCCACAUUGGGACUGAGACACGGCCCAAACUCCUACGGGAGGCAGCAGUGGGGAAUAUUGCACAAUGGGGGAAACCCUGAUGCAGCGACGCCGCGUGAGUGAAGAAGUAUUUCGGUACGUAAAGCUCUAUCAGCAGGGAAGAAAUUGAGUCCAUUGGACUUUGAACCGCAGGUGACUUACAUGCCCCCGCUAACUACAUGACAUAAGCCGCGGGAGUAAUCAGGAUUUACUGGUUGUCCGGAUAUAGUGGACGGAAAGGCAGCGCAGAAGGGAACUCACGGCUGUAAUGAACUCACAUGCUUUAGACAUGGAGCUGCUGUGGAGCCUGAGCAGCUGGAGUACUUGAUAGGGAAGCGGAGAUCUGAGUGUAUCUUAGAAAUGCCUACAUAGUAGAAGGAGCAUUACUGGAGAGUGCGUGAUACUGAACUGCAACUGAGUGUGAAGCUCAAAAGAGUGGAUAGCCUGCUAGACUACAUCCCCUGCGAUGAUUAGCAUGUGUCGAUGAAUACUAGGCGUCGGGGGACCGAGGACACUCGUUAGCAGCUCCAACUGAUUAGUAAAUCCCCCUGA